rnacentral:rRNA from 1 species
UGAGAAUUUGAUCUUGGUUCAGAUUGAACGCUGGCGGCGUGGAUGAGGCAUGCAAGUCGAACGGAAUAAUGACUUCGGUUGUUAUUUAGUGGCGGAAGGGUUAGUAAUACAUAGAUAAUCUGUCCUCAACUUGGGAAUAACGGUUGGAAACGACCGCUAAUACCGAAUGUGGUAUGUUUAGGCAUCUAAAGCAUAUUAAAGAAGGGGAUCUUCGGACCUUUCGGUUGAGGGAGAGUCUAUGGGAUAUCAGCUUGUUGGUGGGGUAAUGGCCUACCAAGGCUUUGACGUCUAGGCGGAUUGAGAGAUUGACCGCCAACACUGGGACUGAGACACUGCCCAGACUUCUACGGAAGGCUGCAGUCGAGAAUCUUUCGCAAUGGACGAAAGUCUGACGAAGCGACGCCGCGUGUGUGAUGAAGGCUCUAGGGUUGUAAAGCACUUUCGCUUGGGAAUAAGAGAGAUUGGCUAAUAUCCAAUCGAUUUGAGCGUACCAGGUAAAGAAGCACCGGCUAACUCCGUGCCAGCAGCUGCGGUAAUACGGAGGGUGCUAGCGUUAAUCGGAUUUAUUGGGCGUAAAGGGCGUGUAGGCGGAAAGGAAAGUUAGAUGUUAAAUCUUGGGGCUCAACCCCAAGCCAGCAUCUAAUACUAUCUUUCUAGAGGGUAGAUGGAGAAAAGGGAAUUCCACGUGUAGCGGUGAAAUGCGUAGAUAUGUGGAAGAACACCAGUGGCGAAGGCGCUUUUCUAAUUUACACCUGACGCUAAGGCGCGAAAGCAAGGGGAGCAAACAGGAUUAGAUACCCUGGUAGUCCUUGCCGUAAACGAUGCAUACUUGAUGUGGAUAGUCUCAACCCUAUCCGUGUCGUAGCUAACGCGUUAAGUAUGCCGCCUGAGGAGUACACUCGCAAGGGUGAAACUCAAAAGAAUUGACGGGGGCCCGCACAAGCAGUGGAGCAUGUGGUUUAAUUCGAUGCAACGCGAAGAACCUUACCUGGGCUUGACAUGUAUUUGACCGCGGCAGAAAUGUCGUUUUCCGCAAGGACAGAUACACAGGUGCUGCAUGGCUGUCGUCAGCUCGUGCCGUGAGGUGUUGGGUUAAGUCCCGCAACGAGCGCAACCCUUAUCGUUAGUUGCCAACACUUAGGGUGGGAACUCUAACGAGACUGCCUGGGUUAAUCAGGAGGAAGGCGAGGAUGACGUCAAGUCAGCAUGGCCCUUAUGCCCAGGGCUACACACGUGCUACAAUGGCCAGUACAGAAGGUAGCAAUAUCGUGAGAUGGAGCAAAUCCUCAAAGCUGGCCCCAGUUCGGAUUGUAGUCUGCAACUCGACUACAUGAAGUCGGAAUUGCUAGUAAUGGCGUGUCAGCUAUAACGCCGUGAAUACGUUCCCGGGCCUUGUACACACCGCCCGUCACAUCAUGGGAGUUGGUUUUGCCUUAAGUCGUUGACUCAACCUGCAAAGGAGAGAGGCGCCCAAGGUGAGGCUGAUGACUGGGAUGAAGUCGUAACAAGGUAGCCCUACCGGAAGGUGGGGCUGGAUCACCUCCUUU